CCAAUAGCGUAUAUUAAAGUUGUUGCAGUUAAAAAGCUCGUAGUUGAAUUUCGGGGUUAGUAGAUUGGUCAUGCCUUUGGUAUGUACUGGUCUUACUGAUUCCUCCUUCCUGAUGAACCGUAAUGCCAUUAAUUUGGUGUUGCGGGGAGACUGGACUGUUACUUUGAAAAAAUUAGAGUGUUUAAAGCAGGCUAACGCUUGAAUACAUUAGCAUGGAAUAAUGAAAUAGGACGUUCGAUCUUAUUUUGUUGGUUUCUAGGAUUGACGUAAUGAUUAAUAGGGAUAGUUGGGGGCAUUAGUAUUCAAUUGUCAGAGGUGAAAUUCUUGGAUUUAUUGAAGACUAAGUACUGCGAAAGCAUUUGCCAAGGAUGUUUUCAUUAAUCAAGAACGAAAGUUAGGGGAUCGAAGACGAUCAGAUACCGUCGUAGUCUUAACCAUAAACUAUGCCGACUAGGGAUCGGAUGAUGUUAAUUUUUUAAUGACUCAUUCGGCGCCUUACG
rnacentral:rRNA from 1 species